CGGAGGGUGCAAGCGUUAUCCGGAUUCACUGGGUUUAAAGGGUGCGUAGGCGGGUAAGUAAGUCAGUGGUGAAAUCUCCGGGCUUAACUCGGAAACUGCCGUUGAUACUAUUUAUCUUGAAUAUCAUGGAGGCAAGCGGAAUAUGUCAUGUAGCGGUGAAAUGCUUAGAUAUGACAUAGAACACCGAUAGCGAAGGCAGCUUACUACAUGUUAAUUGACGCUGAGGCACGAAAGCGUGGGGAGCAAACAGGAUUAGAUACCCUGGUAGUCCACGCCCUAAACGAUGGAUACUCGACAUCAGCGAUACACUGUUGGUGUCUGAGCGAAAGCAUUAAGUAUCCCACCUGGGAAGUACGACCGCAAGGUUG
rnacentral:rRNA from 1 species